rnacentral:misc_RNA from 1 species
GAUUUAGGGCGAGGCCUCCCUGCUUACUCCACCACCAUCGCCAUCGCCACCGCCGCCGCGCCACCAUCCCUUGUGUCAGCGCGGCUGCCAUCACUUCUCUCCGCACAAUAACCACCACCACCACCAUUUUAAUUAUCAUUCCCUUUUAUGCACUAGGUUUGCCCCUCAUCCUCGAAAAGGCCUAGAACCUCUUUGUUCUUAUUCAUCGCAAAACGACUUUAACUUGCAGGCUGAUGUGAAUAGAGAAACUGCUGCCUCUAUCGCCCAGGUGUUGCAA